rnacentral:sRNA from 1 species
UAAAUAAACACUUGAGUGUGUGAAUCCGACAUCCACAUUUUGGCGCCGUCUGUGGGGACGGAGGAUUCUUGAGUCAUCAGAUUUUUUCUGUGUGUUACAUACCCGAAGUGAUCCGCAAUGUCUGGAGAGUAUGCUACCAACGCUUCGAUAGUCGAAACCCUCAAGACCAUGCAACAAACUAUGGCUGAUAUGGCGCAGAAGUUUUCAAACGUGGAAAAAACUGUCGAAACACUGCAAAUAACCCAGGUAUCGCUAAGCCAAAAUGUUAGUACCAUUCAGUCUCGUGUUCGUUCUUUAAAUGCAGGAAAUUCUAGAGUUCGAAGAACUAUCUUCGGAUCCCCUAAUUCCCUUCCGCGAAAUGCAACAAGUGAUCAAACGACCCCGGAGGGUACAAACGCGGAGAAUCAACCGGAAGACGAUCACCAGUUCGGUGAUCAACAUGAGCAGGAAAACUUCGACCAGCUCAAAACCAUGAAAGAAGUAAGCCGAGAGUUGAAAGA